AACGAACGCUGGCGGUAUGCCUAACACAUGCGAGUCGAACGAGACCUUCGGGUCUAGUGGCGCACGGGUGCGUAACGCGUGGGAACCUGCCCGUAGGCUCGGAAUAACUCCCCGAAAGGGGUGCUAAUACCGGAUAAUGUCUUCGGACCCAAGAUUUAUCGUCUUUGGAUGGGCCCGCGUUGUAUUAGCUAGUUGGGAGGGUAAAAGCCUACCAAGGCGAGGAUCCAUAGCUGGUCUGAGAGGAUGAUCAGCCACACUGGGACUGAGCCACGGCCCAGAAUCCUACGGGAGGCAGCAGUGGCGAAUAUUGGACAAUGGGCGAAAGCCUGAUCCAGCUAUGCCGCGUGAGUGAUGAAGGCCUUAGGGUUGUAAAGCUCUUUUACCCGGGAUGAUAAUGACGGUACCGGAAGAAUAAGCUCCGGCUAACUCCGUG
rnacentral:rRNA from 1 species